AUAUCAAUAAGCGGAGGAAAAGAAACUAACAAGGAUUCCCCUAGUAACUGCGAGUGAAGCGGGAAAAGCUCAAAUUUAAAAUCUGGCGGUUUAUGCCGUCUGAGUUGUAAUCUGGAGAAGUGUUUUCUGUGUUGGACCGUGUACAAGUCUCUUGGAACAGAGCGUCGUAGAGGGUGAGAAUCCCGUCUUUGACACGGACUGCCAAUGCUAUGUGAUACGCUCUCAAAGAGUCGAGUUGUUUGGGAAUGCAGCUCAAAAUGGGUGGUAAAUUCCAUCUAAAGCUAAAUAUUGGCAAGAGACCGAUAGCGAACAAGUACCGUGAGGGAAAGAUGAAAAGCACUUUGGAAAGAGAGUUAAACAGUACGUGAAAUUGUUGAAAGGGAAACGCUUGAAGUCAGUCGUGUCGUCUGGGACUCAGCCUUGCUUCUGCUUGGUGUACUUCCUGGUUGACGGGCCAACAUCGAUUUUGACCAGUGGAUAAAGACAAAUGGAAUGUGGCACCUUUCGAGGUGUGUUAUAGCCUUUUGUUGCAUACAUUGGUUGGGAUCGAGGACUGCAGCAUGCCUUUUUGGCCGGGGCAUUGCCCACGUAACAUGCUUAGGAUGUUGGCAUAAUGGCUUUAAGCGACCCGUCUUGAAACACGGACCAAGGAGUCUAACAUGCCCGCGAGUGUUAGGGUGGUAAACCCUUGCGCGUAAUGAAAGUGAAAGUUGGGACCUCUGUCAUGGAGGGCACCGACGCCCGGCCUUGAACUUCUGUGAUGGCGCCGAGGUAGAGCGUGUAUGUUGGGACCCGAAAGAUGGUGAACUAUGCCUGAAUAGGGCGAAGCCAGAGGAAACUCUGGUGGAGGCUCGUAGCGAUUCUGACGUGCAAAUCGAUCGUCAAAUUUGGGUAUAGGGGCGAAAGACUAAUCCGAACCAU
rnacentral:rRNA from 1 species